rnacentral:rRNA from 1 species
UACGGGGGGGGCAAGCGUUGUUCGGAAUUACUGGGCGUAAAGGGCUCGUAGGCGGCCAACUAAGUCAGACGUGAAAUCCCCAGGCUCGACCUGGGAACUGCGUCUGAUACUGGAUGGCUUGAAUCCGGGAGAGGGAUGCAGAAUUCCAGGUGUAGCGGUGAAAUGCGUAGAUAUCUGGAGGAAUACCGAUGGCGAAGGCAGGUCUCUGGGCAUUAACUGACGCUGAGGAGCGAAAGCAUGGGGAGCGAACAGG